rnacentral:rRNA from 1 species
UACGAAGGGGGCUAGCGUUGCUCGGAAUCACUGGGCGUAAAGGGUGCGUAGGCGGGUCUUUAAGUCAGGGGUGAAAUCCUGGAGCUCAACUCCAGAACUGCCUUUGAUACUGAAGAUCUUGAGUUCGGGAGAGGUGAGUGGAACUGCGAGUGUAGAGGUGAAAUUCGUAGAAAUUCGCAAGAACACCAGUGGCGAAGGCGGCUCACUGGCCCGAUACUGACGCUGAGGCACGAAAGCGUGGGGAGCAAACAGG